CCUACGGGUGGCAGCAGUGAGGAAUAUUGGUCAAUGGACGAGAGUCUGAACCAGCCAAGUAGCGUGAAGGAUGACUGCCCUAUGGGUUGUAAACUUCUUUUAUAUGGGAAUAAAAUGUUCCACGUGUGGGCUUUUGUAUGUACCAUAUGUAUAAGGAUCGGCUAACUCCGUGCCAGCAGCCGCGGUAAUACGGAGGAUCCGAGCGUUAUCCGGAUUUAUUGGGUUUAAAGGGAGCGUAGGUGGAUUGUUAAGUCAGUUGUGAAAGUUUGCGGCUCAACCGUAAAAUUGCAGUUGAAACUGGCAGUCUUGAGUACAGUAGAGGUGGGCGGAAUUCGUGGUGUAGCGGUGAAAUGCUUAGAUAUCACGAAGAACUCCGAUUGCGAAGGCAGCUCACUGGACUGCAACUGACACUGAGGCUCGAAAGUGUGGGUAUCAAACAGGAUUAGAUACCCUAGUAGUC
rnacentral:rRNA from 1 species